rnacentral:tRNA from 1 species
GCGGUGGCUCAAUUAUAGAGCUUUUGCUUUGCGCACCAAAGGUCCUAGGUUCAGUUCCUAGCAUCACUG